GCGCAGUAGGGUCCGCACAGGCCGAGUGGGAUCCGAGGUCUCUAUCGCAACCACGCCCUUGAGCGCUGAGGCUUCGGGAAGAGAACAGCUGCAGCUGUCAGGGCAGGCCCGGCUCUGCAGACUGGAGGGCGACCGGGUGGCUGGGAUAGGCCCGGGAGGGGCUGGGAUCGGUGGCUGCGAUGCCCUGUAGAGCCGAGGGAAGGCGCGAGUGCACGUUAGAGUGAUAAUAUUGGCCGGACUGAGCCCCAAUCGGGGAGCUCACGGCCACCUGAACUCGCUGACGUGUGGGAGAGGAAAGGAUCCCGAGAAUCCGGAAGCCUAGAUUCCUGCCGGAGCUGCAAGUGCUGCGGAAAUGGGGGAAGAAGGUUCCUGGGCGCUUUAAACAAAUGGCUGCCUCCCAGCGCUCUGAGUUAAGGGACCGGCUACCUAGCGUCUAGCUAAGGAGGAAGACGCACAGUUGGAGAACUGCUGUCUUUGUAGUUGCUUCUCCCGCCGCAUCCAGGAAAGACAGGCGCUUUCCUGGGGCUGGUUAGAACAAACAAAGCCCCAAUUCCCGAGCCCUGUGGAGGCUCGGACAGAGAGGUUUGCGCACAAUCCGCACUUCUGCGCAAUCAGCGCCUCCUGAGCCCGGGUCUCCGGCACCACCCGGUUGCUGGAUUCCCACCCUACAGGAGCACAAUUAGUACACUGAACCCUCUGGAAGGUGUUGGCACCUGCCAUUUAGCGGAACACCGGCACCAUUUUAUAAAACAGUGAGAGAAAGAUGCGGAAUAAAUCAGUGUUCCUAUUUGCCCCUCGUUUUAUCUCCUCUGAUUCCUGCCAGCAUUUGCAAACCCAAACUUUCUUCCUUCUCUUUCAAAAAAAAAAAAAAAAAAACCUUACAAAAAAAACCGUACAAUUCAGGGCCUGCAAAAGAAACCAAGGUUAGUUUGAGAAAACAGAGGUGAAAUGGAAUUUGAGGUUGGUGCCCCUCCCCAACAACCCCUUCCCGCCCCCGCGCCACAAAAAUCCCGCCAAACGCUUAUCCGAUCUCGUGAGCGCCUCGCUGGACAUUCACGUAAAACAAAAACAAUUAUUUCGCUCCAGACGAGGAGCAGAGGAGAAAACAGCAGUGCAAUGAAUGAUACCGGCAGCCGGGAAGUUCGCAGGCCCCUUGGAGGCCAGGUGAGGCUGCGCCCCAGCUUGCUCCGGAGCUGCAGGAGGCGCCCUGGUCUCCGCGCUUGACAUCACCCCCGCCCCCCGCCAACUCCCGGCCUCCAGUCCUUCCCCCUCCCUCCAGCUCCCUGCACCGCGCCCUGGGUGGGUGGGUGAAUGUGAAGAGGCAGCGUUGGGCUAGGCCCCUGCAGCCCGCUCGGAGCGUCCUAGGCCUGGGGCUGAGCUGUGAGAGACCCAGAUUGUCAUCCCAGAGGCUCCGCAGCCCGGAAAGGCCUCCUCUCCGACCCUGCGCCGGGUCCGCGGGACAAAGUUCGGAAGCUCGGGGCAGCUGGGCCAGCGCCAUUUUCUCGCACUUGUGGCUGGAUCUGGUUGUCCCGGCGACUGCGCCCCGGCGCGGUCUCUUCUCCUCUACCUCGGAUCCCCAGCACUGACUCGCCCUCAGAGGCCGGGGAAGGUGUGACGAGCUCCCGGCCCCGGCCGAGGGGUCCCAGGAGAGAAGCUGGGUGGCGGUGGCCAGGCAGACCGCGGUAGCUGGCCCUCGCCUCCCUCCUCGAGGCACCAUUGUUCCGGGAUCGCUGUGACCGCCGCAAAGUGAAUGCUUUCGGUGCGGACAGUCGCCUUCAAAGCCAGGCCCGGGAUUCAGACUUCAAACAGUGGGCCGGCAAAGAGCUGUAAAAGUUUGUUUGUUUUAAAAAACAACAACUCUGCCAUUAAAGAUGAGUUCCUUCUCCAGCUCAGGACUGCGAAUCUACCUUCCGGGUGUCCGCCGCCAGCUCCCGGAGUAGCAGGCCUGGGACCAGGAUUCGAGAGUGACCUACCGCCCCUUCCCGGAGCUAAAACUUCGGGUGAGGGGGUGAGAUCCUUGCGACAUUGUGGGAAACCCUGAAAAGAGCUCAGGGAAACUGUACACUUCCAGACACGCUUUAGAAAUAAAGUGCCAGGUUCCAAGUGGA